rnacentral:lncRNA from 1 species
AAUUUAAAACUGCCUCAGCCACGUGAUUUGGGAGGCUUAUUCGUGUGUGCAUGGAGGAAGGCCUUUCUUAAAUAUUUCAUGAGGAUUCGUGCCUCUGGCCUGAUCGGCUAGACCUCUCUGACUGCAGAAUAAGUGAAAAUGUUGUAACAACGGAACAUGCUUUGACCCAGUAGAUUAUAACUGCUCUGAAAAAGCCAUCGCACUCUCUUAGGUAUUACUCCAAUGUUUAAAAUCGAAAGCAUAUUGUCAAUUGCAGAGGUUGAACCAUGGAAGUUGGACCAUCCCUUAGGGUCAAAGGAGUCUCUUCACUGAACUCCUGCCUUAUUUGGUUACAUCCUCAACCGAUCCUAGCAAGAAUCCCUCGGGUAUGAGUGUCAGCUUUGAAAACGAAUGAACCUGCUCCUGAAGCAAUGCGGCCUCAUUGAGGAGAAGUCAACACCCUCACCGAGAUGCAGACUCUUACAGAAUUGGAUUUGCUCAGAACACCGUCCAGCAACUACAGAGGAGACCCAGCUAAUGUAAGGGAAUUUGCUCAGACUUUGUGAGCCACACCUUCUCACGAGACCCUGAUGGGAGCCUGAGUCAUCUGCAAAGUGACCUCCCGCCCUCCAGGUCUGUGCCCUCCUGACUGCAGAGCAGCCCCUUGGCUCAGCAUCCCUCUCACUCCACGACACCACAGGAGUGGAGGAACAGAUAUUAGGUACAAGUGAUGGCUGGAAUGCAUGCACCUCCUUUUGGCUCCCUCUUCAAGCCCCAUGAACACUGCAUGGAAACGGACUUGUUAAUGUCCAAGGCCCAUCAACAGUGUUGACCCCAGGAGGGACCCAGGCUGUGACAGUCCUCAGUAGCUGCAAGCACACAGAUGCGGGAAGACGCCCGGCCUGGAACGUGGAGUCCCGAGUCAGCAGUGAGGACCCCAUAAGAGCAUCUCCUUACCCCGUGGGAUCCCUGCAGCCCUGCGAGCUGGCAGCACCAGGCACUCUCGAAUUGGAAGUGAAUGUGGUGCAGAAAGAAAGCAGACUGGGCAACAGUGUGUUUAGGACACAGCGAGAUCUUCAGGUGUCUCCAGUCUCUGGGUGUCUGGACCACUGGUCCUCCCCACAGGCAGAAGCCUGCGCUCCACUCUCAGGUGGGCUCCAAGGUGCUGCCUCCCAGCCUGGCGCCUGCCCAGACUACAGGGGACCUUCCCUGGUUGCCCACAGCCCGGCCUCUCUGCCCCACUGGUUCCUGGCAGGAGCAGGCAGAGUCUUCUCGAGGAGCUGACAGUCUCAAAGAAAAACAUGCAGAUUAUACAGAUAUUGAUACUGGA